rnacentral:rRNA from 1 species
GACGAACGCUGGCGGCGUGCUUAACACAUGCAAGUCGAACGGAAAGGCCCUGCUUUUGUGGUGUGCUCGAGUGGCGAACGGGUGAGUAACACGUGAGUAACCUGCCCUUGACUUUGGGAUAACUUCAGGAAACUGGGGCUAAUACCGGAUAGGAGCUCCUGCUGCAUUGUGGGGGUUGGAAAGUUUCGGCGGUUGGGGAUGGACUCGCGGCUUAUCAGCUUGUUGGUGGGGUAGUGGCUUACCAAGGCUUUGGCGGGUAGCCGGCCUGAGAGGGUGACCGGCCACAUUAGGACUGAGAUACGGCCCAGACUCCUACGGGAGGCAGCAGGGGGGAAUAUUGCACAAUGGGCGGGAGCCUGAUGCAGCAACGCCGCGUGCGGGAUGACGGCCUUCGGGUUGUAAACCGCUUUCGCCUGUGACGAAGCGUGAGUGACGGUAAUGGGUAAAGAAGCACCGGCUAACUACGUG